AUUGAACGCUGGCGGCAGGCCUAACACAUGCAAGUCGAGCGGAUGAAGGGAGCUUGCUCCUGGAUUCAGCGGCGGACGGGUGAGUAAUGCCUAGGAAUCUGCCUGGUAGUGGGGGAUAACGUCCGGAAACGGGCGCUAAUACCGCAUACGUCCUGAGGGAGAAAGUGGGGGAUCUUCGGACCUCACGCUAUCAGAUGAGCCUAGGUCGGAUUAGCUAGUUGGUGGGGUAAAGGCCUACCAAGGCGACGAUCCGUAACUGGUCUGAGAGGAUGAUCAGUCACACUGGAGCUGAGACACGGUCCAGACUCCUACGGGAGGCAGCAGUGGGGAAUAUUGGACAAUGGGCGAAAGCCUGAUCCAGCCAUGCCGCGUGUGUGAAGAAGAUCUUCGGAUUGUAAAGCACUUUAAGUUGGGAGGAAGGGCAGUAAGUUAAUACCUUGCUGUUUUGACGUUACCAACAGAAUAAGCACCGGCUAACUUCGUG
rnacentral:rRNA from 1 species